GAUGAACGCUGGCGGCGUGCCUAAUACAUGCAAGUCGAGCGAACAGACGAGGAGCUUGCUCCUCUGACGUUAGCGGCGGACGGGUGAGUAACACGUGGAUAACCUACCUAUAAGACUGGGAUAACUUCGGGAAACCGGAGCUAAUACCGGAUAAUAUAUUGAACCGCAUGGUUCAAUAGUGAAAGACGGUUUUGCUGUCACUUAUAGAUGGAUCCGCGCCGCAUUAGCUAGUUGGUAAGGUAACGGCUUACCAAGGCGACGAUGCGUAGCCGACCUGAGAGGGUGAUCGGCCCCACUGGACCUGAGACACGGUCCAGACUCCUACGGGAGGCAGCAGUAGGGAAUCUUCCGCAAUGGGCGAAAGCCUGACGGAGCAACGCCGCGUGAGUGAUGAAGGUCUUCGGAUCGUAAAACUCUGUUAUUAGGGAAGAACAAAUGUGUAAGUAACUAUGCACGUCUUGACGGUACCUAAUCAGAAAGCCACGGCUAACUACGUG
rnacentral:rRNA from 1 species